rnacentral:lncRNA from 1 species
GCAUUAUUACAGUGUUGUGAGGGGCUGCACAGGGGAGGAAUGGGUAAGAGUCAGGGAGAGAUGUGCGCUCCCUCCCAUGCUGGAGCCACUGCCACCUCCCCAUUCACAGCUGGCUGACUGACAGGCUUGUCCAGAGGCAGCGAGGCGGAGGCAUGGCGGUUCACGGGUGAGGAAACUGGGCAGUGAACCCAAGCCCCUUCAGUCAUAUCAACAUCAGAAGCUGAGCUAGGACUGGAAUUCACUGCCCUGGAGCUUUUUGCUACCAGUAACAUCUAAGCCCAGUGUGGGACUCGAACUCACAACCCCGAGAUCAAGAGGUGUAGCGCUACAGACUGAGCCAGCCGGGCGCCUCUUCUUUCCGGUAGUUUUAAAGCAACAAGUCUGCUACGAG